AGAGAUGCACUGGGUUUAAAGCGUGCGCAGGCGGUCUUGUAAGACAGAGGUGAAAUCCCCGGGCUCAACCUGGGAACUGCCUUUGUGACUGCAAGGCUGGAGUACGGCAGAGGGGGAUGGAAUUCCGCGUAUAGCAGUGAAAUGCGUAGAUAUGCGGAGGAACACCGAUGGCGAAGGCAAUCCCCUGGGCCUGUACUGACGCUCAUGCACGAAAGCGUGGGGAGCAAACA
rnacentral:rRNA from 1 species